UCCAUUGCGCAUGGUCUGCUGGCUUGGCGCCAUGUUUGUGGGAAUGUCUUAUCGCAGCCAGAGUAUGUUUUAUGCCAUGCCUACAUUGCUACAGUACCAUGAACAGUGUUACAUAUUGGCAAAAUGAGCUGAGUUCUGUGUGUUAUUUACAGGCAGAAAGUUCUUUUUGGGUUCUUUUCAUCACCUACUUAUACAAUGCUGGCUCCCUGAAAUUAAAGGCUUCUGAUCUCAAAGACUGCUGUUUUAAUUGUACCUUUAAAUUGUUUUUUUUGUUGAUAUUUUCAACUUCAUUGCCUUUUAUUUUUAUUUUAGGAAUCUCAUAAUACUCUGCACAUUUUGACAAGCUGUACUGGAGACAGAUCUGUCUCUGUGAGUAAUAAACUAUGCUCCGCAGCAAAAUAGCGUUUCCAGAUCCUGUUCUGCACGUUACCAGAUUCAACUCCUUCUCGAGCGUGUGUUUAUUGGAGCACGGAUGAAGCGUCCUUCACCACGUCUCCAAGCUUUGCAGCUUUACCUCAGACCUGAACUAUCAAUAAACACUGGUUUUGAUUUCA